rnacentral:rRNA from 1 species
GACGAACGCUGGCGGCGUGCUUAACACAUGCAAGUCGAACGGAAAGGCCCUGCUUUUGUGGGGUGCUCGAGUGGCGAACGGGUGAGUAACACGUGAGUAACCUGCCCUUGACUUUGGGAUAACUUCAGGAAACUGGGGCUAAUACCGGAUAGGAGCUCCUGCUGCAUGGUGGGGGUUGGAAAGUUUCGGCGGUUGGGGAUGGACUCGCGGCUUAUCAGCUUGUUGGUGGGGUAGUGGCUUACCAAGGCUUUGACGGGUAGCCGGCCUGAGAGGGUGACCGGCCACAUUGGUACUGAGAUACGGCGCAGACGCGUACGGGAGGCAGCAGGGGGGAAUAUUGCACAAUGGGCGGAAGCCUGAGGCAGCAACGCCGCGUGCGGGAUGACGGCCUUCGGGUGGUAAACCGCUGUCGCCUGUGACGAAGCGUGAGUGACGGUAAUGAGUAAAGAAGCACCGGCUAACUACGUG